rnacentral:rRNA from 1 species
UACGGAGGGUGCGAGCGUUGUUCGGAAUUACUGGGCGUAAAGCGCGUGUAGGCGGCCUCCUAAGUCUGGUGUGAAAGCCCGGGGCUUACCCCCGGAAGUGCACUGGAUACUGGGAGGCUUGAGUACCGGAGAGGAGGGUGGAAUUCCUGGUGUAGCGGUGAAAUGCGUAGAUAUCAGGAAGAACACCGGUGGCGAAGGCGGCCCUCGGGACGGAUAAUGACGAUGAGACGCGAAAGCGUGGGGAGCAAACAGG